CAAAAGAGUAGUCCUUAGAGUAUCCAAAACACAAGGCACCAGCCUCAGCGGACAUGCAGCUCCAUAUGGACAACUCCAGCUCCAUACUUGAACAGAUAGAAGGCACUUCAGAUACAAGUGAGAGUUGUGGAGGAGUCAGAAGCUGCCCCGGCAGACGACGGCAGGGUACAGAAACUCCAGCCCAUCGCAGUGCAGAUUGAUGUUAAAGAUCUUGUUUUUCUGUUUGAAAAAGAAUCAGCAGUGCAAGUUACCUAUUAGCAGAAAAAGGCUGAGGCGCGUUCUGAGUCCCCAGAUUCUCCAGCAGCAACCUUGCGUCUGAGGCACAGCAGGUUUUGUUCCUCAAUCCCAGUGAAUAAACAAGGCGAUGAAAAA